AAUAAGUGCAGUUUUGCACUAUUCAUCUCCACGUUUGACCGUUCGUCUUAUUUGAAAUUUUUUUAUAAUUAUUAUUUUUAUUGUUAUUAGAUGAUAAAACAUGAAUAGUACUUUAUGUGUGGCUAAUUUUUUUAAAAAAAUUCAUAAAUUUUUUAAAUAAGACGGACGGUCAAAUGUUGGACACGUAUUUUCACGGCUGCAGUUAUU
rfam:Oryza barthii chromosome 1, whole genome shotgun sequence.